GAUGAACGCUGGCGGCGUGCCUAAUACAUGCAAGUCGAGCGAACAGAUGAGGAGCUUGCUCCUCUGACGUUAGCGGCGGACGGGUGAGUAACACGUGGAUAACCUACCUAUAAGACUGGGAUAACUUCGGGAAACCGGAGCUAAUACCGGAUAAUAUAUUGAACCGCAUGGUUCAAUAGUGAAAGACGGUUUUGCUGUCACUUAUAGAUGGAUCCGCGCCGCAUUAGCUAGUUGGUAAGGUAACGGCUUACCAAGGCAACGAUGCGUAGCCGACCUGAGAGGGUGCUGGGCCACACUGGAACGGAGACACGGUCCAACACCCCAGGGGGGGCAGGAGUAGGGAAUCUUCCGAAAUGGGGGAAAGCCUGACGGAACAACGCCGGGGGAGUGAAGAAGGUUUUCGGAUCGUAAAACUCUGUUAUUAGGGAGGAAAAAAUGUGAAAGUAACUAUGCACGUCUUGACGGUACCUAAACAGAAAGCCACGGCUAACUACGU
rnacentral:rRNA from 1 species